rnacentral:rRNA from 1 species
GACGAACGCUGGCGGCGUGCCUAAUACAUGCAAGUCGAACGAACCGCGACUGAGUGCUUGCACUUGGUCAAGGUGAGUGGCGAACGGGUGAGUAACACGUGGGUAACCUACCUCAUAGUGGGGGAUAACAGUCGGAAACGACUGCUAAUACCGCAUAGGACAUAGGAUCACAUGAUCCAGUGAGGAAAGGUGGCGCAAGCUAUCGCUAAGAGAUGGACCCGCGGUGCAUUAGCUAGUUGGUAGGGUAAAGGCCUACCAAGGCGAUGAUGCAUAGCCGACCUGAGAGGGUGAUCGGCCACAUUGGGACUGAGACACGGCCCAAACUCCUACGGGAGGCAGCAGUAGGGAAUCUUCCGCAAUGGACGCAAGUCUGACGGAGCAACGCCGCGUGAGUGAAGAAGGUCUUCGGAUCGUAAAGCUCUGUUGUUAGAGAAGAACAGCGCAUAGAGUAACUGCUAUGCGUGUGACGGUAUCUAACCAGAAAGCCACGGCUAACUACG